AUGUCCAGGUGUGCAUCAUUGCUCCGGGCACCAGGAUGUUCCUUAUGGCGUCUGUGCACUGGUGUGUGUCCCAGAAAUAGACACGUCCUUCGGUCUGAGCACCCCUGCACCCCAGCCUGCCCACCGCGCGGCACACCUGCAAGCUCCGGUCGGGGCGCUGCGCUGACCCCAGUCCCCGCAUCACCUGACCGCCCGCGGCUCUGUCUGCCCCGCCCCCUCCAGACGCCGGCUCUGCGUUGCGUAUUCGCUCUGGCCAUAGUGGGCCUUGUGUUGCUGCUGCUGCAGCCCGAGGGUGCCCUGGGCGAGGAGUUGCAAGUGCCACAGCCCAGGGCCGCCAGUUGGCUGAACUUAGGCUCCUUCAAGAAGUACAUAGGGAAGCUCUUCAACAGCAGCCCGAAGAAAUCUAAAAACCACAAGAAAACUGCGAACGCCACGAACGCCUCCCCAUCGAAAGGCACGAAAUACCCUCCAUGGACCACCACGAACCCCCAGUGGCUGAAUACCUCGGAACCCCGACCACCGACCUCCUCCCGGGGCCCCAGGUAGGACAGCCUGGACGCUUGGCACCGAGCCAGGGGCCUCGGGACUGGGGGAAGCUUGGGUGAUAGAGAGAGGAAGCUCCUGGGGGCGGGCAUUCGGGGAGACACAGCGCCCAGGCGGGGGAGCUUCGUUCUCCAGGCUGGGCCUUGGCCUCCAGACGCCUCUCUCCCACCAACCCCUUUAUAUUGAGAGGGGCCUCAACCCGUCCUCAUCCCCUCAGUGGAAACAAUAAAGACAAAUUUCUGUUGCUUCAGUGACUUCUGUGGGCCUGGGGUCAGGGAGGGACCAGUCCAUUGGAGGGGAAGGGGGCCUCUGGAGUUUCUGCUGUGGGAGAAAAAGACCUCAGCUGUUGGGGGUCCUCCUCUGGUAACCCAUCCACCUUCCUCCACGUCACCCAUACAUGGCCUUGUGGGUCUGGCCCUCCACCCCGUGAUAGAGACACAGAUGCAGGUCCUGGAGAACACACUUACUGCCCUGGUAGUCCUGCACAGAUGGCACCAGUGUGGGGGCUCUAACCCGGAGGGAGAGCAGAGGUGAGAGAAGAAACCUCAAAGGAGGGGCUUCAGCUAG
rnacentral:lncRNA from 1 species